GGAUGCUCGAGGGGAGCUGCACCAGCCUCCAGAGGGUGUUGCUGCCGCUGGUAACACAUGAGAUAGAAAGUCAAAUGCGAGCUGCUGUCAUAUUCCCCGGGGCCCAAAGGCCUUCCUGGAGAAAUGGGGGAGGAAGUGGUCCUCAGGAACGGCCAAUAUUUAAAAAAUCCUAUUCUUUUGGAUUUUUUUUUCCAUCCGGCAGCAACUCUAGGAACACGGGGACUCCAAUCUGCUUAUUUGGCACUUACCUGCCCAGCCUGACCUUCUCAUCUAAGACCAGACUUGAACACAAAGCCUGGAGGGUUGGUGCCCAGAAAUGGGGCAGAAGGAGGGGAGCGUCCAGGGGAGUGCCAAGCCCCUUUCUCCUGUGUCUUACUGGCUUCCAAGAAAACCAAGACCUAUCUGAAGAUGGACUCUAUAUGGGCAGAAGAUUUCUACCUGACUACUGCCCUGAAGGUUUAAAAGUCUACCUUCACCCUUUCCAGAUUAAGGUUCUAAGUGGUAAGGAGGUUUGGGAUAAUAAUUUGAUUAUUGCAGUAUUUGUUCAAAUGGAUAGGAAACUGCCUUAUUUUUUUUCAUUGAAGUAUAGUUGAUUUGAAGUAUAGUCAAAUUGAUGCUUUCGACUUUUGGCCACUUAAUGCGAAGAGUUGACUCACUGGAAAAGAACCUGAUGCUGGGAAAGACUGAGGGCAGGAGGAGAAGGGGGUGGCAGAGGAUGAGAUGGUUGGAUGGCAUCACCAACUCAAUGGACAUGAGUUUGAGCAAAUUCCAGGAGAUAGUGAAG
ensembl:lncRNA